AGCUUCUUCGCCUACUGAGGCAUCCUGAUAUCGUAGAAAUAAAGCACAUUAUGUUGCCUCCUUCUCGGAGAGAGUUUAAAGAUAUUUAUGUUGUUUUUGAAUUGAUGGAAUCAGAUCUCCAUCAGGUAAUUAAGGCCAAUGAUGAUCUUACACCUGAGCAUUAUCAGUUUUUUCUGUACCAGCUUCUGCGCGGAUUAAAAUAUAUUCAUACAGGUUUGGGCCAAUAAUGAUCUUACUGCUGAGCAUUAUCAGUUUUUCCUAUACCAGCUUAUGCGUGGACUAAAAUAUAUUCAUACAGGUUUGUUCUUUGUAUAAUUUGA
rnacentral:lncRNA from 1 species